AUGAAUCUCUUCAUCAUCACCUUCAUCUGGAUUCUUGGAGAUUUUAUUCAAGAAUCCAGAGGAGUUACUGUAACUCAGAGUAAAGCUCAAUCUGUUUCUGUUGGACAAACAGUCAAUAUAAAGUGUACAGUUGAUCCUGGAAUAGCUAGCAAUUAUUUAUCUUGGUAUCAGCAGAAACAUGGAGAAGCUCCUAAACUCAUCAUUAAGUUAUUAAAUGACAACUAUGGUGACACUUCCCGUCGAAUCCGUGGCAGUGGAGCAUGGGCUGGUAGAGAUUUUACUCUGAGCAUCAGUGGAGUUCAGACUGAAGAUGCAGGAGAUUAUUACUGUCAGAGUUAUCACUAUAUCAACAGUAGCUAUGUGUUCACACAGUGA